rnacentral:misc_RNA from 1 species
GAUGAAGAACGCAGCGAAAUGCGAUAAGUAAUGUGAAUUGCAGAAUUCAGUGAAUCAUCGAAUCUUUGAACGCACAUUGCGCCCGCCAGUAUUCUGGCGGGCAUGCCUGUUCGAGCGUCAUUACAACCCUCAGGCCCCCGGGCCUGGCGUUGGGGAUCGGCGGAGCCCCCCGUGGGCACACGCCGUCCCCCAAAUGCAGUGGCGGUCCCGCCGCAGCUUCCAUCGCGUAGUAGCUAACACCUCGCGACUGGAGAGCGGCGCGGCCACGCCGUAAAACACCCAACUCUUCUGAAGUUGACCUCGAAUCAGGUAGGAAUACCCGCUGAAAUUAAGCAUAUCAAUAAGCGGAGGA